UACGAAGGGGGCUAGCGUUGCUCGGAAUCACUGGGCGUAAAGCGCACGUAGGCGGACUCUUAAGUCGGGGGUGAAAUCCUGGAGCUCAACUCCAGAACUGCCUUCGAUACUGGGAGUCUUCGAGUUCGGGAGAGGUGAGUGGAACUGCGAGUGUAGCGGUGAAAUGCGUAGAUAUCUGGAGGAACACCGGUGGCGAAGGCGGCAUCCUGGACCAACACUGACACUGAUGAGCGAAAGCCAGGGGAGCAAACGGG
rnacentral:rRNA from 1 species